CAAACCUCUCUUUGCUUUCCCACCACUAUUUCCUAAUCUCCUACAUGUUUAAUUUUAGUUUUUUUCAUGUCCCCAAGGGAAUAAGUGAAGCUGCCAGCAUGAUCUAUCUAGCUAGCCUUGGUUUUGGCAUUACAUUGUUUGAUGGUUUGGUCUAGUUUGAGCAUGAGAUUCAUAUGUUUUAUGUACAUGUAAAGCAACCCUUGCUGGCUAGUUAGGUCAUGCUCGGACAGCCUCACUCAUUCCUGUUUGGAGGACCCAGAAGAUAGAUUUGAGGUAAAAUCAAACAGAAGAAUCACUUGUGUGUAAAUGUUAUUACAGGGGCAAGUGCAUGCACAGACAACCCGGUGGCCAGUAAGGAAGUGAAUCAAGUGAAUAAGAAGCAAGCUAGGGGAUUCUCAUCUUGUCGAACCACUCAAAGGCAACAACUAUUCUACCCAACGCCCAGACUGGAGUUCUCCGGAAGUUACUAAUUUAAUUUAUAAAAUAUCUAUAAUAGUAAUUGACAAGUGAUUGUUGAAAUUAGCAGUUUUUCUAGCAGUGAACUUUUCCGCGUAUUUAAAAAACUUAUUCCAUGUAUUCAUAAAAAAAAAUUAGGUAUUAUGUCUUUCGACUAUAA